AACGCACAUUGCGCCCGCUAGUAUUCUGGCGGGCAUGCCUGUUCGAGCGUCAUUUCAACCCUCAAGCUCUGCUUGGUGUUGGGGUCCUACAGCUUGUAGGCCCUGAAAUAUAGUGGCGGACCCACUGGAAGUCCGAGCGCAGUAGUUUUCUCUCGCUCUGGAGGACCUGGUGGUGUUUUGCCGUUAAACCCCCAAUUUUCUAAGGUUGACCUCGGAUCAGGUAGGAAUACCCGCUGAACUUAA
rnacentral:misc_RNA from 1 species